rnacentral:rRNA from 1 species
GACGAACGCUGGCGGCGUGCUUAACACAUGCAAGUCGAACGGAAAGUGCUCUUCGGAGUGACUCGAGUGGCGAACGGGUGAGUAACACGUGGGUGAUCUGCCCUGCACUUUGGGAUAAGCCUGGGAAACUGGGUCUAAUACCGAAUAGGACCAUGGCCUUCAUGGGUUGUGGUGGAAAGCUUUUGCGGUGUGGGAUGGGCCCGCGGCCUAUCAGCUUGUUGGUGGGGUAAUGGCCUACCAAGGCGACGACGGGUAGCCGGCCUGAGAGGGUGACCGGCCACACUGGGACUGAGAUACGGCCCAGACUCCUACGGGAGGCAGCAGUGGGGAAUAUUGCACAAUGGGCGCAAGCCUGAUGCAGCGACGCCGCGUGAGGGAUGACGGCCUUCGGGUUGUAAACCUCUUUCAGUAGGGACGAAGCGCAAGUGACGGUACCUAUAGAAGAAGGACCGGCCAACUACGUGCCAGCCGCCGCGGUAA